rnacentral:rRNA from 1 species
CCUACGGGAGGCAGCAGUGAGGAAUAUUGGUCAAUGGCCGGAAGGCUGAACCAGCCAAGUCGCGUGAAGGACGACUGCCCUAUGGGUUGUAAACCUCUUUUAUAAGGGAAGAAUAAAUGCUACGUGUAGCAUGAUGCCUGUACCUUAUGAAUAAGCAUCGGCUAACUCCGUGCCAGCAGCCGCGGUAAUACGGAGGAUGCGAGCGUUAUCCGGAUUUAUUGGGUGUAAAGGGGGCGCAGACGGCGAUGCAAGCCAGGUGUGAAAGCCCGGGGCCCAACCCCGGGACUGCUCUUGGUACUGCGUGGCUGGAGUGCAGGUGGGGCAGGCGGAAUUCCUGGUGUAGCGGUGAAAUGCUUAGAUAUCAGGAGGAACACCGAUUGCGAAGGCAGCCUGCUAGACUGCAACUGACGUUGAGGCCCGAAAGCGUGGGUAUCAAACAGGAUUAGAUACCCGUGUAGUC